AGUGAAAGCAGUUCCUUCAACUAGAGAAUUCAGAUCCACAUCUAAGAUUCCAGAACUGACUUUUCCUAUUCCUAGCAAGUGAAAGGAUGGAGAAGCUUCAGGGAGCUUCAUUAGUGAUACUGUGUCUUCAAGUGUUCUGGGUGAGCUGUCAACAAAAGGUGGAGCAGAGUCCCCUAAGCCUGCAGGUCCAGGAGGGAGAGAACACUGCUUUCAACUGCAGUUACUCUGACAGUGGUUCCCAAGGGCUUCAGUGGUUCAAGCAGGAUUUUGGGAAAGGCUUCAUCUCUUUAUUUUCCAUAACUUCUGAGGAGAAGGAGAAAGGAAGGCUAAAAUCCACAAUCAACAGAAAGGAGCGUCUCAGCACCCUGUACAUCACAGCCUCCCAGCCUGGAGACUCCGGCACUUACUUCUGUGGUGUGAAGGCACAGUGAUCCACAGGCACCUGCAAACUGUGCAAAAACCCUGCAGGGGGAACUCCUGCUACACUCCCUGCCAAGGUGCAUAUGAUGGUAUACAGAAAACACUUUGGGAGGUUCAUUUUCGCUGGUUCACUAUGAGAAUUUUUCAUUCCCCCGGUUUGAGACUCUGGAUUUUAGCUUUCAUUUCUUUUUUUUUAAAAUGAAUUCUA